rnacentral:rRNA from 1 species
GGUUAAGCGACUAAGCGUACACGGUGGAUGCCCUGGCAGUCAGAGGCGAUGAAGGACGUGCUAAUCUGCGAAAAGCGCCGGCGAGGUGAUAUGAACCCUUGACCCGGCGAUGUCCGAAUGGGGAAACCCAGUGUGUUCCGACACACUAUCGUUAACUGAAUACAUAGGUUAACGAGGCGAACCGGGGGAACUGAAACAUCUAAGUACCCCGAGGAAAAGAAAUCAACCGAGAUUCCCCCAGUAGCGGCGAGCGAACGGGGAGCAGCCCGGAGUCUGAAUCAGCUUGUGUGUUAGUGGAACGGUCUGGAAAGUCCGACGGUACAGGGUGAUAGUCCCGUACACGAAAACACACUUGCUGUGAACUCGAAGAGUAGGGCGGGACACGUGGUAUCCUGUCUGAAUAUGGGGGGACCAUCCUCCAAGGCUAAAUACUCCUGACUGACCGAUAGUGAACCAGUACCGUGAGGGAAAGGCGAAAAGAACCCCGGCGAGGGGAGUGAAAAAGAACCUGAAACCGUGUACGUACAAGCAGUGGGAGCACCUUCGGGUGUGACUGCGUACCUUUUGUAUAAUGGGUCAGCGACUUAUAUUCUGUAGCAAGGUUAACCGUAUAGGGGAGCCGAAGGGAAACCGAGUCUUAACUGGGCGUUAAGUUGCAGGGUAUAGACCCGAAACCCGGUGAUCUAGCCAUGGGCAGGUUGAAGGUUGGGUAACACUAACUGGAGGACCGAACCGACUAAUGUUGAAAAAUUAGCGGAUGACCUGUGGCUGGGGGUGAAAGGCCAAUCAAACCGGGAGAUAGCUGGUUCUCCCCGAAAGCUAUUUAGGUAGCGCCUCGUGAACUCAUCUUCGGGGGUAGAGCACUGUUUCGGCUAGGGGGCCAUCCCGGCUUACCAACCCGAUGCAAACUACGAAUACCGAAGAAUGUUAUCACGGGAGACACACGGCGGGUGCUAACGUCCGUCGUGAAGAGGGAAACAACCCAGACCGCCAGCUAAGGUCCCAAAGUCAUGGUUAAGUGGGAAACGAUGUGGGAAGGCACAGACAGCCAGGAUGUUGGCUUAGAAGCAGCCAUCAUUUAAAGAAAGCGUAAUAGCUCACUGGUCGAGUCGGCCUGCGCGGAAGAUGUAACGGGGCUAAACCAUGCACCGAAGCUGCGGCAGCGACGCUUAUGCGUUGUUGGGUAGGGGAGCGUUCUGUAAGCCGUUGAAGGUGUGCUGUGAGGCAUGCUGGAGGUAUCAGAAGUGCGAAUGCUGACAUAAGUAACGAUAAAGCGGGUGAAAAGCCCGCUCGCCGGAAGACCAAGGGUUCCUGUCCAACGUUAAUCGGGGCAGGGUGAGUCGACCCCUAAGGCGAGGCCGAAAGGCGUAGUCGAUGGGAAACAGGUUAAUAUUCCUGUACUUGGUGUUACUGCGAAGGGGGGACGGAGAAGGCUAUGUCAGCCGGGCGACGGUUGUCCCGGUUUAAGCAUGUAGGCGGAGGUUCCAGGUAAAUCCGGUACCUUUUAACGCUGAGGUGUGAUGACGAGGCACUACGGUGCUGAAGUGAUAAAUGCCCUGCUUCCAGGAAAAGCCUCUAAGCAUCAGGUAACACGAAAUCGUACCCCAAACCGACACAGGUGGUCAGGUAGAGAAUACCAAGGCGCUUGAGAGAACUCGGGUGAAGGAACUAGGCAAAAUGGUGCCGUAACUUCGGGAGAAGGCACGCUGAUAGGUAGGUGAAGCCCCUGCGGGCGGAGCUGAAAUCAGUCGAAGAUACCAGCUGGCUGCAACUGUUUAUUAAAAACACAGCACUGUGCAAACACGAAAGUGGACGUAUACGGUGUGACGCCUGCCCGGUGCCGGAAGGUUAAUUGAUGGGGUUAGCGGCAACGCGAAGCUCUUGAUCGAAGCCCCGGUAAACGGCGGCCGUAACUAUAACGGUCCUAAGGUAGCGAAAUUCCUUGUCGGGUAAGUUCCGACCUGCACGAAUGGCGUAAUGAUGGCCAGGCUGUCUCCACCCGAGACUCAGUGAAAUUGAACUCGCUGUGAAGAUGCAGUGUACCCGCGGCAAGACGGAAAGACCCCGUGAACCUUUACUAUAGCUUGACACUGAACACUGGUCCUUGAUGUGUAGGAUAGGUGGGAGGCUUUGAAGCGUGGACGCCAGUCUGCGUGGAGCCGCCCUUGAAAUACCACCCUUUAAUGGCUGGUGUUCUAACGUAGACCCGUGAUCCGGGUUGCGGACAGUGUCUGGUGGGUAGUUUGACUGGGGCGGUCUCCUCCCAAAGAGUAACGGAGGAGCACGAAGGUUGGCUAAUCCUGGUCGGACAUCAGGAGGUUAGUGCAAUGGCAUAAGCCAGCUUGACUGCGAGCGUGACGGCGCGAGCAGGUGCGAAAGCAGGUCAUAGUGAUCCGGUGGUUCUGAAUGGAAGGGCCAUCGCUCAACGGAUAAAAGGUACUCCGGGGAUAACAGGCUGAUACCGCCCAAGAGUUCAUAUCGACGGCGGUGUUUGGCACCUCGAUGUCGGCUCAUCACAUCCUGGGGCUGAAGUAGGUCCCAAGGGUAUGGCUGUUCGCCAUUUAAAGUGGUACGCGAGCUGGGUUUAGAACGUCGUGAGACAGUUCGGUCCCUAUCUGCCGUGGGCGCUGGAGAAUUGAGGGGGGCUGCUCCUAGUACGAGAGGACCGGAGUGGACGCAUCACUGGUGUUCGGGUUGUCAUGCCAAUGGCACUGCCCGGUAGCUAAAUGCGGAAGAGAUAAGUGCUGAAAGCAUCUAAGCACGAAACUUGCCCCGAGAUGAGUUCUCCCUGAGACUUUAAGUCUCCUGAAGGAACGUUGAAGACGACGACGUUGAUAGGUCGGGUGUGUAAGCGCAGCGAUGCGUUGAGCUAACCGAUACUAAUGAACCGUGAGGCUUAACCUU